AUGAUUUUUAACUACCAAUAAACAACCACCUCCAAUUAGUACUAUUUGAGUGAGCGGAGGUUUGAUUGCCGAUUUGAGCUGAAAUCAUUUUUCACAGUAAAGGUUUGAGGUCGACAAGCAAACAAAUCGUUUUUUUAAUCAAUAAAUUAUGACUAAAAGUAGCAACACACGUGAAAAUUGGGCAGUUGUUUUGGGAGCAUCAUUACUUCUGAUGCAGUGUUAUCAUUCAAGAGUUCUUCAAUUGCCAAAACGAGAUUCAAAUUUUAAAUUCUCAGUACCUGCUUGCUAUUGGAAGGACGUUAAUUGCAAAAAUGCACCAACAAAGAAACACUUCGGCAACGAACCAGAUAUUCUUCAGCCAGAAUUAAACCAAUGGGAAUUUUUGCAACCAAGACGGCUUCUGUUCUCGAGGAAGUCACACGAAAACAAAAUGCAAAGGAAUCAAGUUUUCAGUCAUACAGAUUUGAUCGAUCAUCUGCUUUCAAGUCGACAGAGCCAGAUAGGAGAUGAAAACCGACCAAACUACACUCGAUAGAAUCUUACAAGUUCAAGAAAAAUCAGGAAAAAAAUAUCUCAUCGAAGUAAAUCUCGAUCAGAAUGAAAAUUGCAAUGUACAUCACGAUUAAAAAAGAUCUUCAACUUUUUAAAUCAUAUUCUCAAUUUAAGUUGUGAAGGUAAAAUUUUCCAGCUUAAUUGAAUG